ensembl:lncRNA
UUUUUUAUUGUUAUAUAUAAACCUGUCUUUUUAUAAAUAUAUUCAUUUUUUUUUUUUUUUAUAACUUUUUUUUAUAACUAACUUUUUUUAUUUUACCUUUUUUUCUUUCUGUCUUAUGUUCUAACUAGUUUCUUUCUUACACCCUAUACCCCAAAAAAAAAAAAAAAUAAAAAAAAAAAAAAAAAAAAAAAAAAAUUGCUUCUUGUUUUUUUUCUUCUUUCAUUUUGUAAUUUUAUACUAAUAAUAUGUGAUGAUAAAAUACAUUAAAAAAAAAAAAAAGAAAAAAAAAGUGUUUUUUUUUUCUUUUUUUUAUAAUUCAGAAGAAACAUUUAAUAAUAGAUAAAGUAUACUAAUAGAUGCAUAAUUAAAUUAGUAAACGACAUAGUAGUAAAUAUAUUUUUUUAUAAGUUCAUAUUAUCAAAUUUAAAAUUACAACUAAAGCAUUUAAACAAUGUUAUAAGUUAGAGUAACUGUUAGAUAAAUAUAAAAAAGAAGAUAAUUGAACAUGCAUAUAUAUAUAUAUAUGUGUGUAUAUAACUUCUCAUUGCUACACUAUAUUUUAAAUGGCAUAUAAACAAAAAUAUUAGAAUGAAUCUUUUGUAGAAAAAAAAUAUACGAUAUCAUUCAUUCAUUAAAUUAUAAAAGCAAAAACAUACAAGAAAAAAAAAAAGAAACACAAAAAAUAAUGGAAUUACCACGAGAAAUUAUAAAAUGGCUGCAAAAUUUAAAUUUGCCUUACUCUUUUACAAAUAUUAAAAUUGCCAGUAAUGGGAUAAUCAUUUCGGAAAUUAUAAACAUAUAUAUGCCUAAACGCAUUAAUAUGAACAGCUUAGAAAAUGGUUCUAGUAAAGAGAUAAAAAAAAAAAACUGGCAAAUCAUAAAAAAAACUCUAACCAGUUUUAAUAUACAAUUUGAUGAACUGUCAGUAAUUAAUUCAGACAAAGAAGCAUUAAAAAAUUUAUUCAUUGAUUUGUACGAAUAUUUAACAAAAAAAAAAUGUAGAGAUGUGUACUAUAUUGAAAGUGAAAAAGACAAAGAAUUGAGUAUUCCGUCAUUUGCAAGAUCUACUAUAGCGCAGAAAGUUCGAGAAAGUAAUGUUGAUGACAUAGUAAAUGAAGAGCAAAAGUUAAUAAGUACUUACGAAUUAGUGAAGCAAGAAGAAUAUUAUAAUGCAAUGAUAAGAGAAAAAGAAAAGUGGCAAAAUGAAAAUAAAAAUAAACAAAAAAAUAUAAACAAAGAAACAGCUGUUUCUGAUGCUUCAUUUUUCAACGAAUUAGAAAAAACUAGUAGCAUUAUAACUAUUAAAGAUAUUAAUGAAUGUGAGGAUUAUACAGACAUUCAAACGCUUGAUUCAUUCAUUAAUGAAAAAAAUAAAAUUGACGGAACACAUGUCGGAAGAGGCUUAAAUUUUUUAAAUGGAAACGAAAAAAAAAAAUUCAUUAAAACAGUAUGAUGAUAUCAGUUUAGAACUUCUUAUAUGCAAUGUGUUGUUGUCUAAUAUUUCUGAUUAUACAAGAGGGGAAGAAGAUAAACAUGAACAAAUAAAAACUCUUAAUAAAAUAAAUAAUAUUUUUUG